rnacentral:rRNA from 1 species
CCUACGGGAGGCUGCAGUGGGGGAUAUUGCACAAUGGGGGGAACCCUGAUGCAGCGACGCCGCGUGGGUGAAGAAGCGCCUCGGCGCGUAAAGCCCUGUCAGCAGGGAAGAAAAUGACGGUACCUGAAGAAGAAGCCCCGGCUAACUACGUGCCAGCAGCCGCGGGAAUACGUAGGGGGCCAGCGUUAUCCGGAUUUACUGGGUGUAAAGGGGGCGCAGACGGCGAUGCAAGCCAGGAGUGAAAGCCCGGGGCCCAACCCCGGGACUGCUCUUGGAACUGCGUGGCUGGAGUGCAGGAGGGGCAGGCGGAAUGCCUGGUGUAGCGGUGAAAUGCGUAGAUAUCAGGAGGAACACCGGUGGCGAAGGCGGCCUGCUGGACUGCAACUGACGUUGAGGCCCGAAAGCGUGGGGAGCAAACAGGAUUAGAUACCCCAGUAGUC